AUGACUCAUGGGAGGAAGGUGGUGUACAGAGCGCCUUUUCUGCUUUUCCCAGGGUCGAAGCAGCAGCUGGCAGGUGAGUUGAGGGCAGCAGGUGGGAGGAGAGUCCGGGAGCAAGUCGGGCUGUUCGGUUCCCUCCACGGCCUGGAAGCAGAGAAGCAACUGGGCUGAAGCGUGUCAGCUGCUGCUGCUGCUGCAGGUUCCUUCCCUCCCCAAAUUUAAGCCCACCGGUGGCUUCAAUUUUCCUUCUGACAAAGAAGAUGGCAAUAAGAGCUACUCAGGACAGCUGCAAAUAACAAGCAACAUUGAAAAGGGAAGUAAAUCAAGCCAGAAAUCAAAAUAUUUCCCAUUUCAUUCA